UGGCUGGUCUUAGCUGGUUUCCCAGGCUGGCCAAGCUUGUGUUCAGCUGGUUUUUUGGCUGGUCUCCCAGCUUGACCAGCUAAGACUAGCCUGGCCAGCUAAAACAAGUGAGCCAUUUUGAUACAGACUUUAAUAAUCAUUAGACUAUUAGACCAUCGGUUCUUUGUUCCUAUAAUAAUAACCAAUAAAGCUUUAAUCUCAAAACUGUAUGAAUCUGCAAACACUGGCACAACACAAAAUCAAUGUUUUAACUGUGAACAGAAAAUGAUAAAAAAAAAAACUAAAUAAAAAAUGUUUACACUUGAACAAACCGCCCAAAGGGGGUGUUUUAGAAGAUCUUUUAUCCCAUAUUGUGUUUGAGUGUCGUCAGAUCAACACAUCGGCCAUUUUAAUGUCUCUUACCCCAGUUCAGUUGAGAGCUGGUUUGAAUCAAUUAGGCCUACAUGUAGAUUUGCUUAUCUCCGUUUAUCUACUGCUUUAGAUGCUGACAAAAUCCCAUAUUUGUUUUAAAAUAUAUAAAAUACACAUUUGUGUCCUCCCCCCAUUGACUGACACUUUGAAUUUGGCGUUUCUUGUAUUAAUGCUGCUGAUAAACUUGUUGUCCACAAGAGGGAGCCGGUCACCAUCUGUCUCACAUUAAACGUAUAAAUUCUGAGCUUUGUUAUGAGUAUGAAAAUGUUAAAGUAAACUAGACGUCUAAGAACUCAGUCAGUUACCCAGCUUGAAGACAUUUUCAGUCUGAUGGUGGUGAAACACGACUCGUCUGGUAGAAACUGUGCAGUUUAUCAUCCGCUCCUCUAGGGGCGCAAGCGGCUUCACGUUCAUAACAUCUUCGGAUCCUUGUCAACAACACCUGAUGUCAACUUGACAGUCGCCGCACCACGUUCUGAUCGUUUUACAGUCAUAAAAGUGCAGAUCCUGCAGAUGACAGCUCAGUGACAGACUCAUAAAGUCACUCAACGGCACAUAUUCCAGCCCAUCAGAAAAAUCAACUGACACACAUUGUGAUAAUGAGGGGGCAUCGACAGUGUCACGAGACUCACCUAAUAAGGCAUGUGUUGGGACUGAUAUACUCAGACAAAAGAAGCAUGUGGACAGACAUUCACAAUAAUGAUUGACAUCUGCUCACGCACAGAUUUGUGACCACAUGAGGGUGAGCAAAUGAUGACAGAAUUUUCAUUUUCAUUUUCACUAUCCCUUUCGGUCAUUGAUGUACCCAAGUUUUAUUUACUAGUUUUAGAAACUCAUACACCUAUUAGGAUGUUUCUAUGAACCGAACUGAUGCAGUUAAUAGAAUCAUCCUGUGAUCAAAUUUACUUGAAUUACUUUUCUUUUUCUUUUCUUUUUUUGUAGUAUGUGCACUGCUGAUGAUUGUAUUUAUGUCAACUGAUAUUUAUUAAGUUUUAGACACUUUUAAAUUCUGAUUUAAUUUUUUUUUUUAAUUAUUAUUAUUAUUAUUAUUUUUUUUUUUCAAAAUGUCUGCAAUUUCUUUUUCCUUAAAGUAUACAAACGAACAUAUCUUUGUGUGAAAAGCUGUUGGUCCAGUGGUCAGAGCUCAUGGUGUGAGAGCUAAACCUGAUGUGGGAGACCAGGGUUCAAAUCCCCAGUCUGCUGCAGCUCUAAAUGAGUGUGAAGGUUUUUUAGAAAAAGUUGUUUUUUUAUUUAUUUAUUUAUUUAUUUUUAAAAAACCUCCUCCUCCUUUCUCAGUCCAGCCUUCAUCUCUCCACUCUGUUUUACUGCCCCAAGUAUCCAUCUUUGUCAUCACACCCUUUGUUUGGUGUACCAUCCCAGGCACUUUGCUGUCACCACAGCUUUCUUUUUGUGAGGGCAAUCCCCACAUACUGAAGUGGGAUUUGAACCCAUGCAACUAUCGCUGCCUUGUCCGCAUCCAGUGUGUGUUUAAACACUAGUGCCAUCAUGGCUUUCACACUGAGAGAUGAUGUUUGGGGCAGUUUGUUGGAUUUAAUGACAACAAGUUAACCUAAGCAAUAGUGGGACUCGAACCCAGGACUCCAAGAUUAAAACACCACGUUUUAGCUCCUGAACCACUGAGUGGCAAUGGGUGUUUUAGAUGGACUUUUAUGGAGAUCUUUGUGUUAUAUAAAAGAAAAAGCUUUGCAGUUGUUGUGUUUGAACCCAUAUCCUCAUGGUAGCAUUAUCUGUUGUUAACAUGUGCUUAACCACUGGCCCAUUGUGGCUUUCACAUUCAGUGAAGGUGUUUGAAGCCUCUUGUUGGUUGCAUACAAUUUAACAUAUGUAAAAGGGGAUUUGAACUUGUUAAAUAAAAACAAUUGAAAGUAAGCAAUAGUGGAAUUUGAACUCAGGAUGCCAUGAUUGAAACACAAUGCUUUAUCUCCUGAACCACUGAGACUGCAGAGAUUAGGAGUGUUUUCAACGGGUUUUAUCGAGAACUAAAACUUUGUUCCUUUUUUUUAUUAUUUUUUAAUGAUAAAUGGUUGUAUCUUAUCACCAUUGUGAAUAAAUACUCAAUUACUAUCCUUGAUUUUCAUGUGAAACUUUUAAUUUUAUUAAAGUUAUUAAUUUUAUAUUCAAGCUUGUUAUUGCACUAUUUUGUGGUGGUUUUGUGAAUUACACCACUGCAAAUUGAGCCUAAGGAGCUUAAAUGCACUACACUUCUGUAAGAGGGUGAGGGCAGAAAAACAUGUUUUACAUUGCAACAUGAACAGACAGAAAGAGCUAUUUACACUAUCUUUUUUCUGUCAAAAUAUAUUUGCAAAUAAAUCAGCUGGUGUGUGUUGAGCGCACUGACGCCAUUGUACUGUGGCUGCCGUCGCAUCAUCCAAGUGGAUGCUGCACACUGGUGGUGGAUGAGGAGAGACCCCUGAUAUGAUUGUGGGUGUACCGUAGUACAUAUGAAAGAGCUAUAUAAAUGUCUCAUUCAUUCAUGGGUUGCACACUCCUGCAAUGAUUUUUGUGAAUUUCACCAAAAAAAUCAAAUCUAAUGAACUUAAAAAUUUUGCUCCCUCCUGUGGUUGUUUUUGCAAAUUACACCAACACAAAUCGAGUCUAAUGAACUUAAAUGUACUAUACUUUUGCAAGAGGGUGAGAGCAGAAGAGUGUUCUCAUAACGCUACGCAACAUGAACAGCCAAUCAGAUCUGUUUAUACUACCGAUGUUCUGUGCUCACUUCUGUUAAAUUGAUUUGCAAAAAGUUACACCGCUGCAUUUUGAGUUUAAUGAACAUAAAAGAGUUUCGCCCUCCUGUGGUGGUUUUUGUGAAUUACAGCACUGCAAAUCGAGUCUAAUGAACUUUCAAUAGGGUUUUUCAUCUGUCCACUCUGUUCUUUUGUUAAAAUAUAUUUAUAUACACGAAAGACCAGAUUUCCUCGUUCACAGAGCUUGUAUCCAGUGUAUAUGUAUGAAGUAACUUAGGCUCAGGCUUUGUAAAAGAUGGUCACUGCAUCUGUGGGAUGUUUCUGUUGCUGCUUCAUGAUUAAAAGUCUCAAAUGUGAUCUCGCCACUAUAACAAUUAGAAUGGUAGAAGGUAAAGUGCAGUUUUCCAUCCGCUCCACUAGGUGGCAGAAGCAGGUUUCAGCUUCAGUCUGACACUUCGGCUGCUUGACAACAUGACGCUUGAUGUUCCUGCAGAUGAGAUGACAGCUCUUAAUGUCACUUUAACAGCAAAUAUUCCAGCUUAACUGCAAAUAAAACCGACAUACAGACGGAAAAAAUGCGGGAACCAAGUGUCACGAGACUCGCCUAUUGUUUCGUCAGCAGUGGGCGGGACUUACAAGCAGUAAUCCAAUUGGCUGAAAAUGUGAUUAAUAUCUGACAGCCUGUUACCAAUUUGCAAUCCACCUGAGGACCAGCGUGAGCACAAGGAGAAGUCUUCUUUGAAUAUUAGGAUCUCUGGGUCAGAACUGCUGGAGGUCAUGAGGAGGUGGCAGGAGAAGCAGUCUCUUGAACUGCUGAACCCUUAUUCCACUGACCUUUUUUCUGGAGUCAUUGGAGCGCACUCCGUUUGCUGCCAUAAUGUGCCUUCGACAAGAACUCUUGGACGUGUCUGAUAACGGUACCAGCUCAUACCCUUUCUCUGGGAUAAAGGUUAUGACAGGCCAUUUCUGUUUGAAUGCAUGUUUGAAAAUGGAGUUAAUUACAAACUGGAGUGAUCAGUUUGUGUGCACAAUAAAAGGCUACAUGUGA